UGUAAGCCUGCGAAGGUGUGUCGUGAGGCAUGCUGGAGGUAUCAGAAGUGCGAAUGCUGACAUAAGUAACGAUAAUGCGGGUGAAAAACCCGCACGCCGGAAGACCAAGGGUUCCUGUCCAACGUUAAUCGGGGCAGGGUGAGUCGACCCCUAAGGCGAGGCCGAAAGGCGUAGUCGAUGGGAAACGGGUUAAUAUUCCCGUACUUGGUGUUACUGCGAAGGGGGGACGGAGAAGGCUAUGUUGGCCGGGCGACGGUUGUCCCGGUUUAAGCGUGUAGGUGUGUGUUCCAGGUAAAUCCGGUUCACUUUAACACUGAGGCGUGACGACGAGGCACUACGGUGCUGAAGCAACAAAUGCCCUGCUUCCAGGAAAAGCCUCUAAGCAUCAGGUAACACGAAAUCGUACCCGAAACCGACACAGGUGGUCAGGUAGAGAAUACCAAGGCGCUUGAGAGAACCCGGGUGAAGGAACUAGGCAAAAUGGUGCCGUAACUUCGGGAGAAGGCACGCUGACACGUAGGUGAAGUGAUUUACUCAUGGAGCUGAAGUCAGUCGAAGAUACCAGCUGGCUGCAACUGUUUAUUAAAAACACAGCACUGUGCAAACACGAAAGUGGACGUAUACGGUGUGACGCCUGCCCGGUGCCGGAAGGUUAAUUGAUGGGGUCAGCGCAAGCGAAGCUCCUGAUCGAAGCCCCGGUAAACGGCGGCCGUAACUAUAACGGUCCUAAGGUAGCGAAAUUCCUUGUCGGGUAAGUUCCGACCUGCACGAAUGGCGUAAUGAUGGCCAGGCUGUCUCCACCCGGGACUCAGUGAAAUUGAACUCGCUGUGAAGAUGCAGUGUACCCGCGGCAAGACGGAAAGACCCCGUGAACCUUUACUAUAGCUUGACACUGAACACUGGUCCUUGAUGUGCAGGAUAGGUGGGAGGCUUUGAAGUGUGGACGCCAGUCUGCAUGGAGCCGUCCUUGAAAUACCACCCUUUAAUGGCUGGUGUUCUAACGUAGACCCGUGAACCGGGUUGCGGACAGUGUCUGGUGGGUAGUUUGACUGGGGCGGUCUCCUCCUAAAGCGUAACGGAGGAGCACGAAGGUUGGCUAAUCCUGGUCGGACAUCAGGAGGUUAGUGCAAUGGCAUAAGCCAGCUUGACUGCGAGCGUGACGGCGCGAGCAGGUGCGAAAGCAGGUCAUAGUGAUCCGGUGGUUCUGAAUGGAAGGGCCAUCGCUCAACGGAUAAAAGGUACUCCGGGGAUAACAGGCUGAUACCGCCCAAGAGUUCAUAUCGACGGCGGUGUUUGGCACCUCGAUGUCGGCUCAUCACAUCCUGGGGCUGAAGUAGGUCCCAAGGGUAUGGCUGUUCGCCAUUUAAAGUGGUACGCGAGCUGGGUUUAGAACGUCGUGAGACAGUUCGGUCCCUAUCUGCCGUGGGCGCUGGAGAACUGAGGGGGGCUGCUCCUAGUACGAGAGGACCGGAGUGGACGCAUCACUGGUGUUCGGGUUGUCAUGCCAAUGGCACUGCCCGGUAGCUAAAUGCGGAAGAGAUAAGUGCUGAAAGCAUCUAAGCACGAAACUUGCCCCGAGAUGAGUUCUCCCUGAGACUACAAGUCUCCUGAAGGAACGUUGAAGACGACGACGUUGAUAGGCCGGGUGUGUAAGCGCAGCGAUGCGUUGAGCUAACCGGUACUAAUGAACCGUGAGGCUUAACCUUACA
rnacentral:rRNA from 1 species